rnacentral:rRNA from 1 species
UACAGAGGGGGCAAGCGUUAUUCGGAAUUAUUGGGCGUAAAGGGCGCGCAGGCGGUCGUUCAAGUCGCGUGUGAAAGCCCCCGGCUCAACUGGGGAGGGUCACGCGAUACUGAUCGACUCGAAGGCAGGAGAGGGUAGUGGAAUUCCCGGUGUAGUGGUGAAAUGCGUAGAUAUCGGGAGGAACACCAGUGGCGAAGGCGACUACCUGGCCUGUUCUUGACGCUGAGGCGCGAAAGCUAGGGGAGCAAACGGG